CAGGCCUCUCUCAUCUUUUUAAGUGGGAGAACUUGCACAAUUGGUGGCUGACUAAAUACUUUUUUCAUACUUCAUUCAUAGUAAACCAGAUUGCUGCAAAGAAUAAAACAAUGAUCAGCCAAAGAUAACUCGCAUCACUGAUGAUAAGGGAGGACCGAAGUCAAUGAAGGAGGGGCCCCUGAAGUUACCCAUGAGCCCUUGCUCCCCAUCACGUCUUUCCCUUGUGGAGAGCCAGCCUUUGUACAGGCUGCUAGAAAGAGAAAGCACUGCAUUCCUGAUGGAUUCAAGUGUAGACAGGUC